CGUAAUGGUUGCCGUACGUGGGCGGGCUUCGGCUCGGCCGGGUUUUGCCUUUUUUCCUCGGUUUUCUCACCCCGCGUACGGCUGCCACCCAC
rnacentral:antisense_RNA from 1 species